AUUGAACGCUGGCGGCAGGCCUAACACAUGCAAGUCGAACGAGUGGAGGACGGGUGAGUAAUGUCUGGGAAACUGCCCGAUGGAGGGGGAUAACUACUGGAAACAGUAGCUAAUACCGCAUACCAUCGGAUGUGCCCAGAUUGGAUUAGCUCGUGGGUGGGGUAACGGCUCACCUAGGCGACUAUCCCUAGCUGGUCUGAGAGGAUGACCAGGCAAACUGGAGAUGGGACAGGGUGAAGAUGCGUACGGUGGGAAGUAGUGGGGAAUAUUGCACAAUGGGCGAAAGCCGGAUGCAGCCAUGCCGGGUGUAUGAAGCAGGCCUUCGGGUUUCAAAGCACUUUCAGCGAGGAGGCGUUACUCUCAGAAGAAGCACCGGCUAACUCCGUGCCAGCAGCCGCGGUAAUUC
rnacentral:rRNA from 1 species